AGCUAUGGCCAUGCUACCCUGAACAAGCCCGAUCCCAUCUGAUCUCGGAAGCUAAGCAGGAUCGGGCCUGAUUAGUACUUGGAUGGGAGACCACCUAGAAAGACCAGGUGUUGUAGGUG
rnacentral:rRNA from 1 species